UACAGGGGAAAGGGUUACCCAGUUUGUCCAGUUACAGAACUCGUAUUUAUUAUCUGAUACAGCCAGGCGUAAAACGUCUUACACAGCUGGUACUUUGUUGUAAACACCAAACUGCGAUUAUUGCUAUACAGUACUUUUGGGUUUGCUAUUAGUUACUGGUAAACGUGUGUCUUGUCUUCAGGCAUUGCCUAGGACACCUGUGAGGCUCAGUGUGAGGACCCCUGCUUACUUCCUGUUUGCGCUGAGCAUUGGUUUGUGUCGGGAGAGUGUUUUGCAGCGCUGGGGCUGAAACCUUUCUGACUUACACCGUCCCGCCUUCUGCCAAUGGGGACUCUAAUGAAGACCCGGGAGAGGAUGUUACUCUCCUGUCAGUCAGUUUUGAGGACACAGAAGCCACCCAGGUUUUAACCAAGCUGUUCCUGUCUCCACGAAUUGAGCAUGCCCUCGGUGCUCUUCAGCGCUUCACAUCUCUGUGUUUCCAAGUGGGAGUUGCCUUAUUGAUUAUGUCCCUCAGGUCUGCCAACAAGGGGGUCGUAGAAUAUGAUGCUGAAGGAUUCACCAAGCUGACUCUGUUGCUGAGUUGGAAAGACUUCUGCUUCCUGGUGCACAAAUAUGAAACUGCCCCUGACCUCUAAAUGCACUGGAACAGAUGCUCUGACUGAUUUGCCACUUGCUUGCGGCUAAAGUCAGGCCUGUGGGAACCUCUGUGGGACAUCAGGUGCUUCUACUGUGUCCAUCACAACCUCCAUAACUAUAUCUUCUAUUGAGACAAAGAAAACGUGUCCUAAUCAUAUCCAGUAGGAAUCAAUGAGAAUGAGCGAUUAUGACUUAAUGGUACAAAAACCGGCCAAGGCUACACGGAGCCGUCCCUGACAUCACCAUAGGAUUUCUGUGUAGAACAUGGAAGCUCCUGCUCCCUGGCGUCUCCAGUUGUUAUUUUCCUGGGCCUAUUUCCGAAGCUUUGUUCCUCAGUUCCAGGAAGCUCUAAUGGAAAACUCUAGACUGGUGUAAGAUGCCAAUGUCACUGGCAUGUAAUAGACUGGCAGUGCCCUGUGAAUGAUGGUGGCAAAGCACUGUAUCAAGUGCCCUAUCAGCUCUGCGUAUGGGAGAAACAAUUGUGCCACAUGGUUCCACAAUCCUGAUUAUUAUGAUCUUCUCACCCAAGAAAGCUAUUGGAAAGAAGCUUGUGAGCAUUGCUUUGAUGGAUCCCUUCUACUGUAGUAUUGGCGGCACAAUGAGCCCUAGAGAGUUUAAUUUUGGGUUGUGGAGAUAUGAAGUGUUCUUCUUUUAAAUCAUCAAAAUAAAAAUAUGUUCCUACAUA